UGGGGAAUAUUGGGCAAUGGGCGCAAGCCUGACCCAGCGACGCCGCGUGGGGGAUGAAGGCCUUCGGGUUGUAAACCCCUGUCAGGGGAGACGAAAGUCCUGCGCCUAACAGGUGCAGGAUCUGACGGUACCCCCAAAGGAAGCCCCGGCUAACUCCGUGCCAGCAGCCGCGGUAAUACGGAGGGGGCGAGCGUUAUUCGGAAUUACUGGGCGUAAAGCGCGCGCAGGUGGCGCGGUAAGUGACAGGUGAAAGCCCUCGGCUCAACCGAGGAAUUGCCUGCCAAACUGCUGCGCUUGAGGCCGGGAGGGGAGAGUGGAAUUCCUGGUGUAGCGGUGAAAUGCGUAGAUACCAGGAGGAACACCGGUGGCGAAGGCGGCUCUCUGGACCGGUUCUGACGCUCAUGCGCGAAAGCGUGGGGAGCAAACAGG
rnacentral:rRNA from 1 species